rnacentral:rRNA from 1 species
UACAGAGGUCCCGAGCGUUGUUCGGAUUCAUUGGGCGCAAAGGGUGCGUAGGCGGCUUCCUAAGUUUGAUGUGAAAUCCUGGGGCUCAACCCUGGAACUGCAUUGAAUACUGGGAGGCUAGAGUACUGGAGAGGAAACUGGAAUUUACGGUGUAGCAGUGAAAUGCGUAGAGAUCGUAAGGAAGACCAGUGGCGAAGGCGAGUUUCUGGACGUAGUUGACUACGCUGAGGCACGAAGGCCAGGGGAGCAAACGGG